UCCCUAUCCGUCGCAGGCGUAGGAAAUUUGAGGAGACCUGUCCUUAGUACGAGAGGACCGGGAUGGACGUACCUCUGGUGUACCAGUUGUUCUGCCAAGGGCAUGGCUGGGUAGCUAUGUACGGAAUGGAUAAGCGCUGAAAGCAUCUAAGCGCGAAGCCAACUUCAAGAUAAGAUUUCCCACCGUAAGGGUAAGAUCCCAGGAAGACUACCUGGUUGAUAGGUCAAAGGUGUAAGUGCAGCAAUGCAUGUAGCUUAUUGAUACUAAUAGAUCGAGGACUUGACCAAG
rnacentral:rRNA from 1 species